rnacentral:lncRNA from 1 species
UUAUACGUCAUAUGGUCAAUAGUUCAUGAAUCAAUAAUCCAAUUUGUAUCGUGUGCAUCAUGGGCAUGGAAAGCCUUGCCAAAGUUACCUGGGGGAGGUGGUGUUGGAGUGCUUAAGACCACAGUAAAGGGAGGAGGAGGAGGAGGAGUAGUAAGGUGGCCGUGCCCAGUGAUGACGUCAGCCACAGAAGUGGCGGCAAUAGCCACAUGAGUUUUGC